UGAGGAAUAUUGGUCAAUGGGCGGUAGCCUGAACCAGCCAAGUAGCGUGCAGGAUGACGGCCCUAUGGGUUGUAAACUGCUUUUAUGCGGGGAUAAAGUCACCCACGUGUGGGUGUUUGCAGGUACCGCAUGAAUAAGGACCGGCUAAUUCCGUGCCAGCAGCCGCGGUAAUACGGAAGGUCCGGGCGUUAUCCGGAUUUAUUGGGUUUAAAGGGAGCGUAGGCUGUCUAUUAAGCGUGUUGUGAAAUAUACCGGCUCAACCGGUGGCUUGCAGCGCGAACUGGUCGACUUGAGUAUGCAGGAAGUAGGCGGAAUUCAUGGUGUAGCGGUGAAAUGCUUAGAUAUCAUGACGAACUCCGAUUGCGCAGGCAGCUUACUGUAGCAUAACUGACGCUGAUGCUCGAAAGUGCGGGUAUCAAACAGG
rnacentral:rRNA from 1 species